AGCACUCAAUGGAACUACCUCAAGGUCCAGCCACUACAAUGGGAUCUGCCUCAAGGUCCAGCCACUACAAUCUACAAUAGUAACUGCCUCAAGGUCCAGCCACUGCAAAGGUAACUGCCUCAAGGUCCAGCCACUACAAUGGUAACUGCCUCAAGGUCCAGCCACUACAAUGGUAACUGCCUCAAGGUCCAGCCACUACAAUGGUAACUGCCACAAGGUCCAGCCACUACAAUGGGAUCUGCCUCAAGGUCCAGCCACUACAAUCUACAAUAGUAACUGCCUCAAGGUCCAGCCACUGCAAAGGUAACUGCCUCAAGGUCCAGCCACUAUAAUGGUAACUGCCUCAAGGUCCAGCCAUUACAAUGGUAAGUGCCUCAAGGUCCAGCCACUACAAUGGUACGUGCCUCAAAGUCCAGCCACUACAACGGUGACUGCCUCAAUGUCCAACCACUACAACAGAGGUCCAGCCACUACAAUGGUAACUGCCUCACGGUCCAGCGACUACAAUGGUAACAGGCCUCAAGGUCCAGCCACUAGAAUGGUAUCUGCCUCAAGGUCCAGUCACUACAAUGGUAACUGCCUCAAGGUCCAGCCACUACAAUGGUAACUGCCUCACGGUCCAGUCACUACAAUGGUAACUGCCUCAAGGUCCAGCCACUUCAAUGGUAACUGCCUCAAGGUCCAGCCACUUCAAUGGUAACUGCCUCAAGG
rnacentral:lncRNA from 1 species